GCUCACCUCACCAGUCCGUAUGCUGAAACUGCAACAAGAACAGAGAUUGGCAUGGCCCCUGCACAAAAAUGACACAAGAAUUUAUGAAGUGUUCCAUAUUUUA